rnacentral:rRNA from 1 species
UACGUAGGGGGCUAGCGUUGUCCGGAAUCAUUGGGCGUAAAGAGCGUGUAGGCGGUCCGGUAAGUCCGCUGUGAAAGUCGGGGGCUCAACCCUCGAAUGCCGGUGGAUACUGUCGGGCUAGAGUGCGGAAGAGGCGAGUGGAAUUCCUGGUGUAGCGGUGGAAUGCGCAGAUAUCAGGAGGAACACCAAUGGCGAAGGCAGCUCGCUGGGACGGUACUGACGCUGAGGCGCGAAAGCGUGGGGAGCAAACAGG